rnacentral:lncRNA from 1 species
AUCUUUUGCCCUACUUUACAGCUGGCACCCCUGAGCAGCUCUGCUGCUGCUGGUGGUCGUUGGGUCUGGCCACAGCAGGCUCAGAAGCAGCGUGAGGGGACAGGCGGGGACCUUCCUGAGCAUCCAAAAAACUGCCCAGGCUCCUUUCUUUGGGGCUUUGAAGAAACACGGACACCUGUCAGAGGGUGUCACCUCUGCGUUUCACCCAACGAGAUGUCAUUUGGAGCUGCCAAGCUCGUGCCAGGGACCUCUCUCUCCUCCUCCACCACCUGGUAGCUGUGCCCCUGCCCCUCCCUGCUCCCCUGCACCGAGGAGUGGCAGGCGGCUUCCCCACUGCUCUCUGAAGAAUAAGGUCACCAGAUAAGUUCAACAGCUUGUGCCUCUUUUAAUGGAAACACCAUGUAUUUAUACACAUUUACACAGUGAAGUACAAAGGGUUAGAAAACAGGCUUCAUUUUCAGCCCCUGUAUCUAACACACCGUAUGGUAAUCCCUGAGAGCACCUGGCAAGUGCGUGUCCCCUGCAAGUGGUCCUGAGAGUGCAAAUUCCCCUGCAGCACAGGUUGCUUUCUGACACUGAAUCCGAAUGCUAACUCUUAAGUACACUGGGCUGGCAGUAAGCAGAAAUUAGUAGUUAAACCACUCAACACGGUGUACCACAUCAAAAUCCAUCCUGACAUCUCUGCCACCGAUGGCUAAAAGGGCAUCUUCUUACCCUCCAGAGAAAUGACUUCAGCUUCUACCUUAUAUUCCAGUCACAGAAAACCCAUUACAACAUUAGUGCCUGUGAAUUGCACAGACCUGAUGCAGUUGCAGACCAAAAUCCUCUUUAUAUUCAUAGUGCUGGAGAGGUUGAUUAGCAGGAUGCUUAUUCCAUCAGCCCUGGGCUGGAGGGCUAUCUGGUAAAGCAGACUAGCCUGCACAGCUAUUCCAGCAAGAUGUACAAAGAACAGGGUCUGUGGAAAAUCCUUGUUUCACGAGUCUGCUGUAACCUCUGUGGAGACCUGACCCCAGCCCUGCUAGCUGGCAACACCUGCCUGGGCACCAGUUUGAGCAACCCCAUGAGAAGAGCACACCACGGCCCAUUUCUUAUCAAACAGGAGCAAAGCCCGAGCAAAAAUAUGGCCAUUUACUGUAGCAUCUGCUUUUUGCUUUUGAACUCCACCGUUAUGAAUGUGCUUUAUUUAUUUAUUUAUUUUAAACUAAGCAGCAAGUUUAGACGAUGUGUUUCCAUAAGCACAGUGUGCUGUUCUGGCCAACCCAACAAUUUAGAUCACAUCUGGGUAUGGGGGAAUGGCUUUCACAGUCUUGAGGACAGUGUGUCCCCACAUAUCCAGUGGGCUUCAGGGUCUGGGACAGGAUGUCUGAUGUGGCAGUCUUUUACUGUGGACCAUCAUGGUCCAUUCCUGCUUUACCUUCAGUGCCAAGAAGUGUUUUCUUCCAGUGUUGAGAAAGGGGAGUAGUGUCCUGCCCUCUGUGGGCACCCAGGUGCAUAAUAUCAAAGCUCACAAUGAAUCCGGCCAUGGUUUCCAAACAUCAGUGGCUGAGCUGCCUGAUACUGACUGGAUUUUCAUAGCAUAUGGCUAGACUUGAUAGCUCGGAAAAUUGCUUGAAUUUCCAGAAGUUGCAUCAUUAUUCUGUCCUGGCUAUAAUGCAAAAAGGUCCUAAAGUAGACACUCACAAUAAGCCUAGUGGUUUUGUUUUAUUUUUUAAAUAGGAAUUUAAAUAUAAAGAAAAAAAAAGCCCACCUGUGGUUCACCAUCUCCCUCAUUUCACAGUUAAAUGCAAAGACAAAGAAAUCCCUGAGACUGAAGAGGAGACAACAGAUGGUGGAUUCAGGGAAACUUAAUGGGGGAGGCAAAUGUUAGGUGACUGUGGCAUACAAAAAUUAGUUCAGCUUCUCUGUUGCUCCGAAGAAAUCAGUCCUUGCCCCUGAUUUAUAUCUGCAGAGGAUGCAAAUACCUCAACUAUAGAAAUAUUUCACAUACAGCCCUUUUUUAUACUCAACAAAACAAUAUCAUUAAGAAUUGUAUCCAUACAGACCACAUAGGGCUGUACAGUUUAAUACCUAGACUGUCUUAAACUUUGAUUACUGUAUUAAUAUAAUAUAAAGUGCUUGGUAUAUUCAAAACAAUUAUAGGAUUGGAUUUUCACUGCCCACUGAGACUCUGUGGUGUAUUUUAAACUCUUCCUUAUUACUAUAAAACUUUAAAAUAUGUCUACCUAUAUAAGGAGAGGAAAAACAUCUAAUGUCAAAAGCACAACUCCUUAAUUUUGACCAUUGCAAAACGAACAAAUGCAAAAUAUGAUCCUUUCACACAUGUUGUUUUUCAAGCUGCUCCUCUGUCAUUCACCUGGAACUGGAAAAAAGGAAACCAUAAAAGGACGGCACCUCUUAAGCUUCCUAUCAGGAGCAGACAGGUAAACUUUUCUGUCUCCCACCCCAAAGUACCUUCACGUCCA